rfam:Schistosoma mansoni strain Puerto Rico chromosome 5, complete genome
AUCCAGCUGACGAGUCCCAGAUAAGAUGAAACGCGCGUCCUCGAU